GAUGAACGCUGGCGGCGUGCCUAAUACAUGCAAGUCGAGCGAACAGACGAGGAGCUUGCUCCUUCGACGUUAGCGGCGGACGGGUGAGUAACACGUAGGUAACCUACCUAUAAGACUGGGAUAACUUCGGGAAACCGGAGCUAAUACCGGAUAAUAUUUCGAACCGCAUGGUUCGAUAGUGAAAGAUGGCUUUGCUAUCACUUAUAGAUGGACCUGCGCCGUAUUAGCUAGUUGGUAAGGUAACGGCUUACCAAGGCAACGAUACGUAGCCGACCUGAGAGGGUGAUCGGCCACACUGGAACUGAGACACGGUCCAGACGCCUACGGGAGGCAGCAGUAGGGAAUCGUCCGCAAUGGGCGAAAGCCUGACGGAGCAACGCCGCGUGAGUGAUGAAGGUCUUCGGAUCGUAAAACUCUGUUAUUAGGGAAGAACAAACGUGUAAGUAACUGUGCACGGCUUGACGGUACCUAAUCAGAAAGCCACGGCUAACUACGUG
rnacentral:rRNA from 1 species